CUGAAAAUAGGUGAACAGCUUUCACAGAAGAGGACAAAAUCAAGUGUCUUUAAAUAAAUGCACCUAUGGAGAUAGCUGUGGUGUGAAACUAUUUUGUUUUCUCUUUUUGCUGCCAUCUGAACUUUUAAUUCCCAGGCUUUUAAAAUGCUUUUUGCCUUAAGUAUUUUUUUUCCCUUCUGCAGGAAGUGACUGUUAGCAAACUUAACUCCAGCUUCAUGGUACUUCUUUAUUGUCUAAGAUUUUCCUACAAGCCUUGUCUACCAGCCUUUCUUCUGCAGCAGUGACAUAAUUUGGUAUAGAGGGGGAAGAGCUGUGUUUUAUUCCUUUGCAAUCUUUCAUGAACUACUGCUCUUCAGGAACAGAGAUCGCUUGUGCAAGAGGGAGAGCAAUUGCUUAUUGGUGUAAUUGUAGCAGUUGAAGACAGCAUAAAGGGCAGGUAACUGACAGCAUCUGUCUGAAAGAUAUUCAGAGUCUCUCCUGCUUCAUUGGGAGUGUUUGUACAAGUUGUCAGAUACUUGUCCUAAGUGGUGUUUGUUUCACUUCCAUAAAGAAGACAACAGCUCUGGACUCUGAUAAAACAAAGCUUGGCAGAGUCCCAGGCACGGUAUCUUGUUCUGGCACUACACUCAGCUUGAUCUUCUCAUUUACCUCACAGGUAUUCAGCAGGACUGCUUCAUCACAUUGUGUUAUGAGUGUUCAACAAGCGUGCUCGAGGAAAGCCUAUGUCACUUGUAGAUGUAUCCUGACACCAAGUGAAUCACGCUGCUUCACACUGCACUGAAUCAUUGGUUGGCUUUCUGCUGUAAAAAAUCACUGGCCUUGAGACUGUCAGAGCACUGCCUGGCAAAGUGCUAAGCAUUUUGAUUUUGAUCCAACAGAGCACUCAGG
rnacentral:lncRNA from 1 species